UGCAUAUUCAUCUUAAAUCAAUUUAAGGGCAACACCUAUAACAAGAUAAGGUGAAGAUUUCAUCACCCUUCUUUAGUCCAAAAGCAACCAACCAGCAUCCCGCAUUAACCAAAACCUAACAAAAUCAAGGAGACAUUGGCCCUUAGGAUCAAUUGAGUUCAGUUUGAAUAUUGUAGUGAAGUCAAGUGCAAAGUAAGUUUGGACUCACCCC
rnacentral:lncRNA from 1 species